AUUGAACGCUGGCGGCAGGCUUAACACAUGCAAGUCGAGCGGAGAUGAGGUGCUUGCACCUUCUCUUAGCGGCGGACGGGUGAGUAAUGCUUAGGAAUCUGCCUAUUAGUGGGGGACAACAUUCCGAAAGGAAUGCUAAUACCGCAUACGCCCUACGGGGGAAAGCAGGGGAUCUUCGGACCUUGCGCUAAUAGAUGAGCCUAAGUCGGAUUAGCUAGUUGGUGGGGUAAAGGCCUACCAAGGCGACGAUCUGUAGCGGGUCUGAGAGGAUGAUCCGCCACACUGGGACUGAGACACGGCCCAGACUCCUACGGGAGGCAGCAGUGGGGAAUAUUGGACAAUGGGCGGAAGCCUGAUCCAGCCAUGCCGCGUGUGUGAAGAAGGCCUUUUGGUUGUAAAGCACUUUAAGCGAGGAGGAGGCUACCUGGAUUAAUACUCUAGGAUAGUGGACGUUACUCGCAGAAUAGGCACCGGCUAACUCUGUGCCAGCCGCCGCCGUAAAAC
rnacentral:rRNA from 1 species